GCAAGUAGAACGCUGAAGAAAGAGCUUGCUCUUUUGGAAGAGUUGCGAACGGGUGAGUAACGCGUAGGUAACCUGCCUGGUAGCGGGGGAUAACUAUUGGAAACGAUAGCUAAUACCGCAUAAUAUCUUUGAUUGCAUGAUUGAAGUUUGAAAGAUGCAACUGCAUCACUACCAGAUGGACCUGCGUUGUAUUAGCUAGUUGGUGAGGUAAUGGCUCACCAAGGCAACGAUACGUAGCCGACCUGAGAGGGUGAUC
rnacentral:rRNA from 1 species